rnacentral:rRNA from 1 species
CCCAGACUCCUACGGGAGGCAGCAGUGGGGAAUAUUGCACAAUGGGGGAAACCCUGAUGCAGCGACGCCGCGUGAAGGAUGAAGUAUUUCGGUAUGUAAACUUCUAUCAGCAGGGAAGAAAAUGACGGUACCUGACUAAGAAGCCCCGGCUAACUACGUGCCAGCAGCCGCGGUAAUACGUAGGGGGCAAGCGUUGUCCGGAUUUACUGGGUGUAAAGGGCGUGUAGCCGGGCUUACAAGUCAGAUGUGAAAUCCGGGGGCUCAACCCCCGAACUGCAUUUGAAACUGUAGGUCUUGAGUAUCGGAGAGGCAGGCGGAAUUCCUAGUGUAGCGGUGAAAUGCGUAGAUAUUAGGAGGAACACCAGUGGCGAAGGCGGCCUGCUGGACGACAACUGACGGUGAGGCGCGGAAGCGUGGGGAGCAAACAGGAUUAGAUACCCCUGUAU